UGGACGCGAAGUUUCAAGUCAC
rnacentral:siRNA from 1 species